CAAAGUCUUGGAACCAACCCAAAUGUCCAACAAUGAUAGACUGGAUUAAGAAAAUGUGGCACAUAUACAGCACGGAAUACUACGCAGCCAUAAAAAAUGAUGAGUUCAUGUCCUUUGUAGGGACAUGGAUGAAACUGGAAACCAUCAUUCUCAGCAAACUAUCACAAGGACAAAAAAACCAAACACCGCAUGUUCUCACUCAUAGGUAGGAAUUGAACAAUGAGAACACUUGGACACAGGAAGGGGAACAUCACACACUGGGGACUGUUGUGGGGUGGGGGGAGGGGGGAGGGAUAGCAUUAGGAGAUAUAUCUAAUGCUAAAUGAUGAGUUAAUGGGUGCAGCACACCAACAUGGCACAUGUAUACAUAUGUAACAAACCUGCACGUUAUGCACAUGUACCCUAAAACUUAAAGUAUAAUAAUAUUUAAAAAAAAAAUACCACACACUAGGCAGCUUAAACAACAGAAAUUUACUUCCUCACAGUUCUGGAGGUUAGCAGUUUAAGGUCAAGGUAUCAGGGUGGUUUCUAGUGAGGACUGUCUUCCUCACUUGCAGGCUGCCACCUUCUUGCUGCCUUCACCUGGCCUUUUCUCUUUGCGUGCAGAGAGACAGAGAGUGCACUCCAGUGUCUCUUCCUCUUCUUAUUAGGACGCCCAUCCUGUUGGAUUAGGCUCCACCCUUUUGACUUCAUUUAACCUUAAUUAUCUCCCAAAAGACCCUCCCUUCAAAUAUAGUCAUAUUGGGUCUUAGGGCUUCAAUACAUGAAUUUUGGGAGGAAAAAAUUAGGUCCAUAACAUCUCCCAUCUGUCUUUCUUCAAUUUGUUCAAAACCCAGAAGAGAAAGAGAGAAAAAGAGGUGUUACUUAUUGGGGAUCCCCUUAGAGAUCCUAGAAUCCUGCAUAUGCCCUUUCCUCCUAAGUUUCUUUUUCUUUUUUUUUUUUUUUUUUUCUCUUUGAGACUGAGUCUAACUCUGUUGCCCAGGCUGAAGUUCAGUGGCACAAUCUCAGCUCACUGCAACCUCCGCCUCCCAGGUUCAAGUGAUUCUCCUGCCUCAGCCUCCUGAGUAGCUGGGAUUACAGGCGCAUACCACCACGCCCGGCUAAUUUUUGUAUUUUUAGUAGAGACAGGGUUUCACCAUGUUGGCCAGGCUGGUCUUGAACUCCUGACCUCAGGUGAUCCACCCACCUCAGCCUCCCAAAGUACUGGGAUUACAGGCGUGAGCCACCAUGCCUGGCCCCUUUCCUCCUAAGUUUCUUAAACAUAUACUCUGUAUAUUCUGGACAACCAAAACAUUAAUAAAAUUUAAGAAUUCUGAAAUGGAUAAAUAUAGGUACUUUCACAGAAUAAAAAACUCUCAAGGAAUAAAUCUUGAAGUAAAUGCAAGACAAUUUCCCAAUUUUUUAUAGGGCAUAGUUGGGAGAUAUGUUAUCAUUUUUUUAAUUUUUUUUUUUUUUUUUUCGACAGGGUGUUGCUCUGUCAUCAAGGCUGGAGUGCAGUGGCAGGAUCAUGGUUCACUGCAGCCUCAACCGUUUAGGCUUAAGCCGUCUUCCUGCCUCAGCAUCCUUUGUAGCUGGGACCACAGGUGUAUGUCACCAUGACCAGCUACUUUUUGCAUUUUUUGUAGAGAUAGAGUUUUGCCAUGUUACCCUGGCUGAUCUUGAACUCCCGAGCUCAAGCGAUCCACCUGCCUCAGCCUCCCAAAGUUCUGGGAUUACAGGCAUGAGCCACCACACCUGGCUUCAUUUUCAUUUUGAAAUCAGAAAAAUUGAGUUUCAAAUAUUUUUAUUUGAAGUUUUUAUAUUAUAGAGUAAAAAAUUAUACAUAGGAGGUUUUAAAUCUCAUAUGUAUACUCACAACUCAGAUAUUUACGUAUCCAGUCCAGACCUCUGGAUUUAUAUGUCCAACUUCCUACUCAAUUUCUGAAGUAGAAAGUCUAGUGGAUAUCUCAAACCCAACACAUUCAAAAUCGAACUGAUCUGUCUUAAACUUGCUCCUACUCUAGUCUGCUAGAUUUUAAAUGAUAGCAACUCCAUCUUUCUACUUCCUUUGGUCUAAAACCUUGAGGUCAUCACUAACUCCGUCUGUCUUCACACAGCCCAGACACAUUCCCAUAGCAAAUUCUUGUGGCUCUACCUACAAUCCAGAAUUUGAUCUGUCCUCACAAUCUCCACUGUUACUUCCCUCAUUAAAGUAUCAUCAUCUCUUUUUUGGGUUAUUGCAGUGGCCUCCUUACCGGCCUCUCUGCUUCAGCCUUGCCCUCCCGUCUCCUGUCAAUGGUCUAUUCUCAACACAACAGCCAAAGUGAGGCUUUCAAAAUGUAUACAAAACCACAUUACUCUGAACUCUCCAGUGGCUCCUUAUCUCACACAGAAGCAAAUGCCACAGUUCUCACAAUGGCCUCCUCCACCCUAAAUGAUCUGAACACCAGUGCAGCACCAUCAGCCCUCUGACCUUGUCCCCACCACUUCCCCUCUUCCUCCCUUUUCUUCAGCCGCACUGGCUUCCUCUUCUUCCUAGAACAUACCAAGCACCAACCCACAUCAGAGGCUUGGCAUUUCUGUUUCCUUUGCCUGAAACAUACUUCUCUUAAAUAUCACAUCACUUUCUCUGUCAUCUCCUCCAGGUCUUUGCUCUACUGUGACCUCAGUAAUAACUUCCCCAUGACCCAAUUUAUAAUUACAAUUCAUGUCCCCAUCCCAGAACCCAUCCCUAUUUUCUGCUCUGUUUUGCUGUGUAACACUUAUCAUCAUAUAUUUUGCAUAAAAUUUGUUUAUUACAUCUCCUGAUCCUAUCCCACACACUAGAAUAUAAGCUCCAUGAAUUCAGAAAUGUUUGUCUGUUUCAUUUACUGAGUAUUCCCAGUUAGAAUAAGGUCUGACAUACUGGGGUAUCUCAAUAUAUGUUUAUUAAAUUGAAUGAAUGACUUCAGUAUGUCAUUCUCUUUCUUUGAUAGGCCAAAGAUGAAAAAAAUAGAGAAGAUAUGAAUAAAACAAUUGAUGAGAUGGAUUUAAUAGAUCUAAUUUAAACAAAGAUAUAUUUGAAAAGAUAAACCCCUAUUUUCAAAUGUUUAUGGCAGGGUUUCUCAACAACAGCUAUUAUAUUUUAUGUCAAAUAGUUCUUUGUUGUGGGGGUUUCAUAUUACAGUGUACAUUGUAAGAUGUUUAGCAGCAUCACUGGCCUCUACCAAUUAGAUGCUAGUGCAAUCAAUACUCUCCCACUCUCAAGUCAUGACAACCAAAAAUGUCUCCAGACAUUGCCUAGUGGAGAGUAGCCACCUAUGGUAAUACCUAAAGUUGAGCCACAUAUACACACCAAAAAUAUAUAAUUUAAUAAGAAAAGUUUAAACAAAAAAUAUCACAAUCAAUUGGAAAAAAAUUCUCCAAAAAUAUUGAGUCAAAAAUUAACCAAAACAACAUCGAAGAUCUGUUUUUUAUAAGGCUGCCAGAUAAAAUAUAGGAACCCAGUUAAAUUCAAAUUUCAGACAAAUAUUGAGUAAUUUUUUAGUCUAAGUAUGUCUCAUGCAACUUUUGGGACAUACUUACACCAGACAUUUAUCUGUUGUUUUUCUGAAAUUCUAAUUUAACUGGAGAACUGCCAGAAUUGCUAAAUCUGGCAAUUCCGGUUUAUAAAAUAAUAAGUAUAAGAUUGCUACAUAUAAAAUUAUAGCCACUACCUAUAGAACACAGCCAAAACCGUACUAAGACAAAGGUAUGUUUGUCAAUGCCUUCAUUUCUUAAAAAGAGAAAUGACUAAAAAUGAACUAAAGUUUAACUGAAAAAUUUAGAAAAUGAUAAAAUAAAAUGAAAGAAAACAAAUAUAAAUAAUCUAAAGGACUCUCCCACAGUUAAAUUAAUUUGCAGAAGAAACCCUUGCCGACUCUACUAAUAGCCUUGCUGAUGGGACUGUAAUAUUUCAAGUUCUUUGAUCCUUGGACAGUGAUGGAUACAUUCUAAUAAAGCUUAGCAUUUACUCACCACUCUAGAUGCUCCAUCAAUGUCUUCUGUUGAUGUCUUUUUCCUUUAGAUAUAUAACUGCACAUGAUCAUCAUGCUGUGUUACGUCAGUAAGAUUUUUUUUUUUUUUUUUUUUGAGACAGAGUCUCGCUCUGUCACCCAGGCUGGAGUGCAGUGGCACAAUCUCGGCUCACCGCAACCUGCGCCUCCUGGGUUCACGCCAUUCUCCUGCCUCAGCCUCCCGAGUAGCUGGGACUACAGGCGCCUGCCACCACGCCAAGCUAAUUUUUGUAUUUUUAGUAGAGACCAGUGAUGAUGGUUACUUCUAGAGUUUUUAUGGUUUUAGGUUUUACGUUUAAGUCUUUAAUCCAUCUUGAGUUAAUUUUUGUAUAAGGUGUAAGGAAGGGCUCCAGUUUCAGU
rnacentral:lncRNA from 1 species